GGGAAUAUUGCGCAAUGGGCGGAAGCCUGACGCAGCGACGCCGCGUGGGGGAUGACGGCCUUCGGGUUGUAAACCUCUUUCAGCAGGGACGAAGCCCUUGUGGUGACGGUACCUGCAGAAGAAGCACCGGCCAACUACGUGCCAGCAGCCGCGGUAAUACGUAGGGUGCAAGCGUUGUCCGGAAUUAUUGGGCGUAAAGGGCUCGUAGGCGGUUUGUCGCGUCGGGAGUGAAAACGCCGGGCUUAACUCGGUGCUUGCUUUCGAUACGGGCAGACUGGAGGUAUGCAGGGGAGAACGGAAUUCCUGGUGUAGCGGUGAAAUGCGCAGAUAUCAGGAGGAACACCAGUGGCGAAGGCGACUCUCUGGUCUGUAACUGACGCUGAGGCGCGAAAGCGUGGGGAGCGAACAGGAUUAGAUACCCUGGUAGUCCACGCCGUAAACGAUGAGUGCUAAGUGUUAGAGGGANUCCGCCCUUUAGUGCUGCA
rnacentral:rRNA from 1 species